rnacentral:rRNA from 1 species
UACGAAGGGUGCAAGCGUUACUCGGAAUUACUGGGCGUAAAGCGUGCGUAGGUGGUUUGUUAAGUCUGAUGUGAAAUCCCCGGGCUCAACCUGGGAAUGGCAUUGGAUACUGCCAGGCUAGAGUGCGGUAGAGGGUGGUGGAAUUCCCGGUGUAGCAGUGAAAUGCGUAGAGAUCGGGAGGAACAUCUGUGGCGAAGGCGGCCACCUGGGCCAGCACUGACACUGAGGCACGAAAGCGUGGGGAGCAAACAGG